rnacentral:rRNA from 1 species
CAAGUCGAACGAUAGUUACCAGCUUGCUGGUGGCGAAAGUGGCGCACGGGUGCGUAACGCGUAUGCAACCUACCUUAAUCAGGGGGAUAGCCCGAAGAAAUUCGGAUUAACACCGCAUAAAAUCACAGCACAGCAUUGUGCAAUGAUCAAAUAUUUAUAGGAUUAAGAUGGGCAUGCGUGACAUUAGUUAGUUGGCGGGGUAACGGCCCACCAAGACCACGAUGUCUAGGGGAUCUGAGAGGAUGACCCCCCACACUGGUACUGAGACACGGACCAGACUCCUACGGGAGGCAGCAGUAAGGAAUAUUGGUCAAUGGAGGCAACUCUGAACCAGCCAUGCCGCGUGCAGGAAGACAGCCCUCUGGGUCGUAAACUGCUUUUAUUCGGGAAUAAACCUAUCUACGUGUAGAUAGCUGAAUGUACCGAAGGAAUAAGGAUCGGCUAACUCCGUGCCAGCAGCCGCGGUAAUACGGAGGAUCCAAGCGUUAUCCGGAUUUAUUGGGUUUAAAGGGUGCGUAGGCGGCUUUUUAAGUCAGGGGUGAAAGACGGUGGCUCAACCAUCGCAGUGCCCUUGAUACUGAAGAGCUUGAAUGAAUUAGAGGUAGGCGGAAUGUGACAAGUACCGGUGAAAUGCAUAGAUAUGUCACAGAACACCGAUUGCGAA